ACUGACUGACCGGAACUGGGACCAGGAGGAUGAUGGAGAGGAGGCAGGGAUGUUUUCCAUCGCUAGUGACGAUGUGAUGAAGAGCAGGCCCAUCAAGAAGGCCAAGCGUCGUGCUGCUGGUUCAGAGGGGCAGAGUGGAGGAGCGU